UGAAGUAAGUCCUCAUGCUUCUUACCAGUUACCUAUUACAGAAUGCUCACGUCACUGCUCUGUGACCAUCCCUGUCGCUGUGGCUCAACUCCUGGGUGCUAGGGAUAAAAUGGAGGCCUUUCACACACAAGCUGUGGGUUCUCUGAACUCCUCCUGGACCCUGGCCGGGUUUGUGUGUGGCCUAUUGCCCCUGAACCUGGGGUUGGUCUCAUCUGUGUCUAAUGGGAGAUUUAGGAGGAUGAACUCCUUCUGUGGGAAGGAGUUUCUGCCCAUGGUUUUCUUCUGCUUCCUCUCGAAUCCCAAUGCCUCCUCCUGCAAGUGCCCACUGCUUUCCUGCUGCCAAAACCUUUCAAAGAACAAGCCAGAUAGCAGUGCUUUUGUGCAUCUACAACUGUGACCUAAGUGAACCAUUUUUUUAAAAAAGGACCUAGCCUCAGAUACUUCAUUAUAGCUACAGAAAAACAGACUAAAGCAACAAUCAGUGUUUAAAAAAAAAAAAAAAA
rnacentral:lncRNA from 1 species